rnacentral:pre_miRNA from 1 species
CUGUAAUUUCAGAUCACUCCACUUUUGAUCCCUCAUUUUACGUGCUAUGUAUGCAGAUUCUGCUGAUGUGGUGAAAUGAAGGACCAAAAGUGAAAGAAUCUGAAAUUACAG